CUCUGUCGUGCUGGGGAUAGAGCAUUGCAAUUAUUGCUCUUCAACGAGGAAUCCCUAGUAAGCGCAAGUCAUCAGCUUGCGUUGAUUACGUCCCUGCCCUUUGUACACACCGCCCGUCGCUACUACCGAUUGAAUGGCUCAGUGAGGCUUUCGGACUGAUCUAAGGGAGGAGGCAACUCUUCCCCCUGGUCGGAAAGUUAUCCAAACUCGGUCAUUUAGAGGAAGUAAAAGUCGUAACAAGGUCUCCGUUGGUGAACCAGCGGAGGGAUCAUUACUGAGUUUACGCUCUACAACCCUUUGUGAACAUACCUAUAACUGUUGCUUCGGCGGGUAGGGUCUCCGCGACCCUCCCGGCCUCCCGCCCCCGGGCGGGUCGGCGCCCGCCGGAGGAUAACCAAACUCUGAUUUAACGACGUUUCUUCUGAGUGGUACAAGCAAAUAAUCAAAACUUUUAACAACGGAUCUCUUGGUUCUGGCAUCGAUGAAGAACGCAGCGAAAUGCGAUAAGUAAUGUGAAUUGCAGAAUUCAGUGAAUCAUCGAAUCUUUGAACGCACAUUGCGCCCGCCAGCAUUCUGGCGGGCAUGCCUGUUCGAGCGUCAUUUCAACCCUCAAGCUCUGCUUGGUGUUGGGGCCCUACAGCCGAUGUAGGCCCUCAAAGGUAGUGGCGGACCCUCCCGGAGCCUCCUUUGCGUAGUAACUUUACGUCUCGCACUGGGAUCCGGAGGGACUCUUGCCGUAAAACCCCCCAAUUUCCAAAGGUGACCUCGGAUCAGGUAUGA
rnacentral:rRNA from 1 species